GAUGAACGCUGGCGGCGUGCCUAACACAUGCAAGUCGAGCGAGAAUCUGCCGACGGAUCCCUUCAGGGUGAAGAUGGCAGAGGAAAGCGGCGGACGGGUGAGUAACGCGUGAGUAACCUGCCCUUAGGAGGGGGAUAACACAUCGAAAGGUGUGCUAAUACCGCAUGAUAUAUAUCAGCCGCAUGACUGAUAUAUCAAAGAUUUAUCGCCUAAGGAUGGACUCGCGUCUGAUUAGAUAGUUGGUGAGGUAACGGCUCACCAAGUCGACGAUCAGUAGCCGAACUGAGAGGUUGAUCGGCCACAUUGGGACUGAGACACGGCCCAGACUCCUACGGGAGGCAGCAGUCGGGAAUAUUGCGCAAUGGAGGAAACUCUGACGCAGUGACGCCGCGUAUAGGAAGAAGGUUUUCGGAUUGUAAACUAUUGUCUGCAGGGAAGAAACAAGACUGUACCUGCAAA
rnacentral:rRNA from 1 species